CCUACGGGGGGCAGCAGUGAGGAAUAUUGGUCAAUGGACGAGAGUCUGAACCAGCCAAGUAGCGUGAAGGAUGACUGCCCUAUGGGUUGUAAACUUCUUUUAUAUGGGAAUAAAACGUUCCACGUGUGGGAUUUUGUAUGUACCAUAUGAAUAAGGAUCGGCUAACUCCGUGCCAGCAGCCGCGGUAAUACGGAGGAGCCGAGCGUUAUCCGGAUUUAUUGGGUUUAAAGGGAGCGUAGGUGGAUUGUUAAGUCAGUUGUGAAAGUUUGCGGCUCAACCGUAAAAUUGCAGUUGAAACUGGCAGUCUUGAGUACAGUAGAGGUGGGCGGAAUUCGUGGUGUAGCGGUGAAAUGCUUAGAUAUCACGAAGAACUCCGAUUGCGAAGGCAGUUCACUGGACUGCAACUGACACUGAGGCUCGAAAGUGUGGGUAUCAAACAGGAUUAGAUACCCGAGUAGUC
rnacentral:rRNA from 1 species